rnacentral:lncRNA from 1 species
AGUUUCCCAGUUCUGCUGGAAGGCCUCCUUGGUGGGACUCAGCUGCCCUGGUUGUCUAAGGCAUGCAGUUUCAGGUGAGCACACUAGAAAGUUUCUUUUCAGGUUUAUUUGUUUUGUUUGCUCUGUGUUCCCCCCAAACAAGCCAGAAAUGAGUCAUCCAUCCAUUCGUCGGUGCAUUCAUUCGUUUGGAAAGUCUUCACCGACUGAGCUUCCCACACACUGUACUUGGCUUAGAGCUGAGAGAGGAUACAAUAGAUCCAGACUGACAGCGCUCCUCUGUUCAUUGGGUAAGGUUGACCACCGCACUUGACUUUGAAGCAAGCAACAAGGAUAGCUCUUAAAUAUCUGCCCAGGGUCAUCUGACUUGCAGGAAUAUGGAACAGAUUAGACGACUCGGAAGCUGUGAUUGCUUCAGGCCAUGCCGAGAAGGUGUGCCCAAGCCAGACACCUCAUCACUUCCUGCUUCAUAUAACACCAUUGUGCCUUGAGUUGAAGCCAAACCUACUCUGGUGGUUGAAUUGGAUGUAGACUAGAGGGAGAUCAAAGCCAAGCCUGGAGAAAAUGACAUUCUCCAGCCAAGAGAUGCACACAGAGUGAAGACAUGGAUGUUUUCCAGCAGUGUUUCUCAGACUUCA